UAAUACAUGCAAGUCGAACGCUUUGUGGUUCAACUGAUUUGAAGAGCUUGCUCAGAUAUGACGAUGGACAUUGCAAAGAGUGGCGAACGGGUGAGUAACACGUGGGAAACCUACCUCUUAGCAGGGGAUAACAUUUGGAAACAGAUGCUAAUACCGUAUAACAAUAGCAACCGCAUGGUUGCUACUUAAAAGAUGGUUCUGCUAUCACUAAGAGAUGGUCCCGCGGUGCAUUAGUUAGUUGGUGAGGUAAUGGCUCACCAAGACGAUGAUGCAUAGCCGAGUUGAGAGACUGAUCGGCCACAAUGGGACUGAGACACGGCCCAUACUCCUACGGGAGGCAGCAGUAGGGAAUCUUCCACAAUGGGCGAAAGCCUGAUGGAGCAACGCCGCGUGUGUGAUGAAGGGUUUCGGCUCGUAAAACACUGUUGUAAGAGAAGAAUGACAUUGAGAGUAACUGUUCAAUGUGUGACGGUAUCUUACCAGAAAGGAACGGCUAAAUACGUGCCAGCAGCCGCGGUAAUACGUAUGUUCCAAGCGUUAUCCGGAUUUAUUGGGCGUAAAGCGAGCGCAGACGGUUAUUUAAGUCUGAAGUGAAAGCCCUCAGCUCAACUGAGGAAUUGCUUUGGAAACUGGAUGACUUGAGUGCAGUAGAGGAAAGUGGAACUCCAUGUGUAGCGGUGAAAUGCGUAGAUAUAUGGAAGAACACCAGUGGCGAAGGCGGCUUUCUGGACUGUAACUGACGUUGAGGCUCGAAAGUGUGGGUAGCAAACAGGAUUAGAUACCCUGGUAGUCCACACCGUAAACGAUGAGUGCUAGGUGUUUGAGGGUUUCCGCCCUUAAGUGCCGCAGCUAACGCAUUAAGCACUCCGCC
rnacentral:rRNA from 1 species